rnacentral:rRNA from 1 species
UACGGAGGGUGCAAGCGUUAUCCGGAAUGAUUGGGCGUAAAGCGUCCGCAGGUGGCAGUUCAAGUCUGCUGUCAAAGACCGGGGCUUAACUUCGGAAAGGCAGUGGAAACUGAACAGCUAGAGUAUGGUAGGGGCAGAGGGAAUUCCUGGUGUAGCGGUGAAAUGCGUAGAGAUCAGGAAGAACAUCGAUGGCGAAGGCGCUCUGCUGGACCAUAACUGACACUCAGGGACGAAAGCUAGGGGAGCGAAUGGG